CCCCGCACAAGCAACGGAGCAUGCGGCUUAAUUCGACGCAACGCGAAGAACCUUACCAAGGCUUGACAUAUACAGGAAUAUGGCAGAGAUGUCAUAGCCGCAAGGUCUGUAUACAGGUGGUGCAUGGUUGUCGUCAGCUCGUGUCGUGAGAUGUUGGGUUAAGUCCCGCAACGAGCGCAACCCUCGUUCUGUGUUGCCAGCAUUUAGUUGGGGACUCACAGGAGACUGCCGGGGUUAACUCGGAGGAAGGUGGGGAUGACGUCAAAUCAUCAUGCCCCUUAUGUCUUGGGCUGCACGCAUGCUACAAUGGCUGGUACAAACGGCUGCAAUACCGCAAGGUGGAGCGAAUCCGAUAAAGCCAGUCUCAGUUCGGAUUGGGGUCUGCAACUCGACCCCAUGAAGUCGGAGUUGCUAGUAAUCGUAGAUCAGCAACGCUACGGUGAAUACGUUCCCGGGGCUGUACACACCGCCCGUCACGUCACGAAAGUCGGUAACACCCGAAGUCAGUGGCCCA
rnacentral:rRNA from 1 species